AUUGCAAUAAAGGCGAGGGAGUGUAGGUUGAACGAAAGGAAAGAUGGAGAGAGAGAAAGGAAGAAGAAGAAAGGCAGGGAGCUUAAACAGGCGAGGGUCCGGUUUGCUGCCCUUCACUGAGGGCAAGGGAAUGUGGAUUGACAGAGAAACAGAGAGAGAAGGUGAGCACUGCUUAGAAUUUUGGGGCAAUAAAUGGCUGAUACUUAGUCGUAAGCAAAUCCACAGAACUCAUCGUAAACUUACGUCACUCUUUUCCAAUUGCAAUAAAGGCGAGGGAGUGUAGGUUGAACGAAGGGAAAGAAGAGGGAGAAAGGAAGAAGAAGAAAGGCAGGGAGCUUAAACAUGCGAGGGUCCGGUUUGCUGCCCUUCAUUGAGGGCAAGGCAAUGUGGAUUGACAGAGAAACAGAGAAGGUGAGCACUGCUUAGAAAUUUGGGGCAAUAAAUGGCUUAUACUUAGUCGUAAGCAAAUCCACAGAACUCAUCGUAAAGUUACGCCACUCUUUUCCAAUUGCAAUAAAGGCGAGGGAGCGUAGGUUGAACGAAGGGAAAGAUGGAGAGGGAGAAAGGAAGAAGAAGAAAGGCAGGGAGCUUAAACAGGCGAGGGUCCGGUUUGCUGCCCUUCACUGAGGGCAAGGGAAUGUGGAUUGACAGAGAAACAGAGAGAUAAGGUGAGCACUGCUUUGAAAUUUGGGGCAAUAAAUGGCUGAUACUUAGUCGUAAGCAAAUCCACAGAACUCAUCGUAAACUUACGCCACUCUUUUCCAAUUGCAAUAAAGGCGAGGGAGUGUAGGUUGAACGAAGGGAAAGAUGGAGAGGGAGAAAGGAAGAAGAAAGGCAGGGAGCUUAAACAGGCGAGGGUCCGGUUUGCUGCCCUUCACUGAGGGCAAUGGAAUGUGGAUUGACAGAGAAACAGAGAGAUAAGGUGAGCACUGCUUUGAAAUUUGGGGCAAUAAAUGGCUGAUACUUAGUCGUAAGCAAAUCCACAGAACUCAUCGUAAACUUACGCCACUCUUUUCCAAUUGCAAUAAAGGCGAGGGAGCGUAGGUUGAACGAAGGGAAAGAUGGAGAGGGAGAAAGGAAGAAGAAAGGCAGGGAGCUUAAACAGGCGAGGGUCCGGUUUGCUGCCCUUCACUGAGGGCAAUGGAAUGUGGAUUGACAGAGAAACAGAGAGAUAAGGUGAGCACUGCUUUGAAAUUUGGGGCAAUAAAUGGCUGAUACUUAGUCGUAAGCAAAUCCACAGAACUCAUCGUAAA